rnacentral:rRNA from 1 species
CAGCAGCCACGGUAAUACGAAGGGGGCUAGCGUUGCUCGGAAUGACUGGGCGUAAAGGGCGCGUAGGCGGAUUGUUUAGUUAGGCGUGAAAUUCCUGGGCUUAACCUGGGGACUGCGCUUAAUACAGGCAGUCUAGAGUGAGGAAGAGGGUUGUGGAAUUCCCAGUGUAGAGGUGAAAUUCGUAGAUAUUGGGAAGAACACCAGUGGCGAAGGCGGCUCACUGGCCCGAUACUGACGCUGAGGUGCGAAAGCGUGGGGAGCAAACAGGAUUAGAUACCCCUGUAGUCCCUGUCUCUUAUAC